CACCCAUGGUGGACAGGUUUCAGCAGAGCUUCCAGACUAAGACCAGCUAGGAAGAAGGACAUGGCCACCUACCUCUGUAAAAAUUUGCCAUGAAAACCCUAUGAAUAGCAGCAGAGCAUUGUCUUACAUAGCACUGGAAGGUGAGAGGAUGGCGCAAAAAGACCGCACAGGGCUCCACACUUCUCUACACGUGGUUGCUAGGAGUCAGGAUCAACUGGAUGGCACUAACAACAGAAUCAUUCUGUAAAGUGAGAACAUUAAAGUCAUAUCCUUUUUUUUUUUUAAUCUCAAAGCUUUGUGAAGGUUUAAGGGUUGCUUUCACACCUAAAUACGAGAGUGUGACGUCGAGAGUUGGUGUAAAAGACCAUAGGGCCCACAGGACAAAGAGAAUGGCUUCCUUAUGGCAGCCAUGACUGAAACUACAUCUGCCUCACCCUGACUUGUGGACAGUCAGCAGCCUGAUUCAAAUUGAAGAUCAUCUGGCAUGGGGCCUGACCUACUGAAAUAAGCAAAGGAAGAUUAGCCCUGAGCUAACAUGUGCUGCCAAUCCUCCUCUUUUUGCUGAGGAAGACUGGCCCUGAGGUUAGAAAUUUAGAAGAAGCUCAGCGGGGCAAUUGGUCUCUAACUCAUGUGGUGUCAGCUGCAGCAUCAAGGCUGGAAGAUCCCCUUCCACAGUGGCUUCUUCAUUCACACG
rnacentral:lncRNA from 1 species